rnacentral:rRNA from 1 species
CAGUCGCCGCGGUAAUACGAAGGGUGCAAGCGUUACUCGGAAUUACUGGGCGUAAAGCGUGCGUAGGUGGUGGUUUAAGUCCGUUGUGAAAGCCCUGGGCUCAACCUGGGAAUUGCAGUGGAUACUGGGUCACUAGAGUGUGGUAGAGGAUAGUGGAAUUUCCGGUGUAGCAGUGAAAUGCGUAGAGAUCGGAAGGAACAUCUGUGGCGAAGGCGACUAUCUGGGCCAACACUGACACUGAGGCACGAAAGCGUGGGGAGCAAACAGGAUUAGAGACCCCGGUAGUCCCUGUCUCUUAUAC